UACGUAGGGUGCGAGCAUUAAUCGGAAUUACUGGGCGUAAAGCGUGCGCAGGCGGUUUGUAAGCCAGAUGUGAAAUCCCCGGGCUUAACCUGGGAAUGGCAUUUGGGACUGCAAGGCUCGAGUGCGGCAGAGGAGACUGGAAUUCCUGGUGUAGCAGUGAAAUGCGUAGAUAUCAGGAGGAACACCAGUGGCGAAGGCGGCUCACUGGCCCGUAACUGACGCUGAGGUGCGAAAGCGUGGGGAGCAAACAGG
rnacentral:rRNA from 1 species